rnacentral:lncRNA from 1 species
UUUUAAAUCAAACAUUUAAUAUUUUAAAUUUUCAAUUUUACUAUCUAAUUUUUUAUUUAUUUAAUAUGAAUCCGUCAACCACAGUUCGUUUUUAAAAUUCAAAUGCAUCGUUUAUCUCAUAUAUUUAGUUAGUAUAUUUUAUAUAAUUUAUCUUUGCAGGUUUAGUUAGUAUAUUCUAUACAAUUCUCACAAUUAUAAAUUUAUUAAAGUAAAAAAUAAAUUAGCUCAAAUUUUGGAGUCGAAGUGUUAUUAACUGACUCAUAUCAAAUAAAUUGAAAGAUUGAAUAACAAAAUCAAUUUUUGAAAGUAGUAAGUUCAAAAUAGUUUAUAAUUAAUGUAAGUUCAAUACAUUUUUUACCAAAAUAAAAUCUAAAGACUCCCUAAAUGUUUUUAUAAAUAAACAUUGAACUUUUAAUGUUGAUAA